AAGUUAAUGCCCACAAAAGAAGUGUUGUGAAGACCAAAGAAAAAGCAGCCUGCCUAGAAACAUUGUAUGAUUCCACCGUUAGAAGUUUAAGCACACUCACCUAAAGGGAACUGGUUCUCCAAGUCAUCUACAGAUAUGUGUAGUGACAGAGAAGUUCUAAAAAGACCAAGAAUUUUCUACAGCAUUUUUUACUUAUUUGUCAGAGCCACAAGUUUCCAACUUGAAGAAAAGUCAUCUGGGAGCUGCACGCCUCUUCUCACCCCCCUGGGAUGGCCUGGCUUCAAACUGUGCCUUCAAAAGAGCAGCUUGGAACUGGCAUGGCAAACUGCUUAUAUUGUAAUUUAUGAACUCAGUGCCUCCUCAUGGACCAUUGUACAACAGCAGAGAUUUCAUCCCUUAAUUCCACAAGCCCAGUGGGACCAUGGACUGAUGACUUGACUUUCUGCCUGGUGGUCUUUUGAGAUUUUCUCUCCAAAGAAAUACAACAGAAGCACAUAAAGCAAGCUUUCCUCACCAUCUUGGUGUGCCCAGUUCCUCCAGCUGCUGGGACAAUCCCCAUGCACUGACCAAAAGGGUGGAGGCUGAAAAAAACAGUAAAUAAG